AGCAGCCGCGGUAAUUCCAGCUCCAAUAGCGUAUAUUAAAGUUGCUGCAGUUAAAAAGCUCGUAGUUGAAUUUCGGGGUCAAUAUGUUGGUCGUGCCUUGGUACGUACUAGCUUAUUGAUUUCUCCUUUCUGACGAACCAUGAUGUCAUUAAUUUGGUGUCAUGGGGAAUCAGGACUGUUACUUUGAAAAAAUUAGAGUGUUUAAAGCAGGCUCACGCUUGAAUACAUUAGCAUGGAAUAAUGAAAUAGGACGUUUGACUCUAUUUUGUUGGUUUCUAGGAUCGACGUAAUGAUUAAUAGGGAUAGUUGGGGGGCAUUAGUAUUCAAUUGUCAGAGGUGAAAUUCUUGGAUUUAUUGAAGACUAACUACUGCGAAAGCAUUUGCCAAGGAUGUUUUCAUUAAUCAAGAACGAAAGUUAGGGGAUCGAAGACGAUCAGAUACCGUCGUAGUCUUAACCAUAAACUAUGCCGACUAGGGAUCGGGAUGAUGUUAAUUUUUUAAUGACUCAUUCGGCGCCUUA
rnacentral:rRNA from 1 species